GGAUAUAAGCUUCAAUAAUUUCAUUGGUUCGCUCCCACCUCAACUGGGGAAUUUAGAAAGUCUGCAACAACUGAAUAUAAGCUACAAUAACUUCAAUAAUUCACUCCCACUUGAGCUGGGGAAGUUGGCGAGUCUGCGACUACUAAACUAGUGGAUGACAAAUUCACAGAAAGACAAAUAACAUCAGUGGCCAC